AGUGAACGCUGGCGGUAGGCCUAACACAUGCAAGUCGAACGGCAGCACAGUAAGAGCUUGCUCUUACGGGUGGCGAGUGGCGGACGGGUGAGGAAUACAUCGGAAUCUACUUUUUUGUGGGGGAUAACGUAGGGAAACUUACGCUAAUACCGCAUACGACCUACGGGUGAAAGCAGGGGAUCUUCGGACCUUGCGCGAUUGAAUGAGCCGAUGUCGGAUUAGCUAGUUGGCGGGGUAAAGGCCCACCAAGGCGACGAUCCGUAGCUGGUCUGAGAGGAUGAUCCGCCACACUGGAACUGAGACACGGUCCAGACUCCUACGGGAGGCAGCAGUGGGGAAUAUUGGACAAUGGGCGCAAGCCUGAUCCAGCCAUACCGCGUGGGUGAAGAAGGCCUUCGGGUUGUAAAGCCCUUUUGUUGGGAAAGAAAAGCAGCAGGUUAAUACCCCGCUGUUCUGACGGUACCCAAAGAAUAAGCACCGGCUAACUUCGUG
rnacentral:rRNA from 1 species